rnacentral:rRNA from 1 species
AAUGAACGCUGGCGGCGCGCCUAAUACAUGCAAGUCGAGCGAGAAGACGUAGCAAUACGUUUGUAAAGCGGCGAACGGGUGAAGAAUACAUGGGUAACCUACCCUAGAGUGGGGAUAACUAGCCGAAGGUUAGCUAAUACCGCGUACGCUCCCUGGACUUCGGUUCAGGGAGGAAAGCGCUACCGUGGGUAGCGCGCUCUUGGAUGGGCUCAUGUCCUAUCAGCUUGUUGGUGAGGUAACGGCUCACCAAGGCUUCGACGGGUAGCUGGUCUGAGAGGACGAUCAGCCACACUGGCACUGCGACACGGGCCAGACUCCUACGGGAGGCAGCAGUAAGGAAUAUUGCGCAAUGGGCGAAAGCCUGACGCAGCGACGCCGC